rnacentral:rRNA from 1 species
CCUGCCCAUAAGAGGGGGAUAAUCCAUGGAAACGUGGACUAAUACCGCAUAUUGUAGUUAAGUUGCAUGACUUGAUUAUGAAAGAUUUAUCGCUUAUGGAUGGACUCGCGUCAGAUUAGAUAGUUGGUGAGGUAACGGCUCACCAAGUCAACGAUCUGUAGCCGAACUGAGAGGUUGAUCGGCCGCAUUGGGACUGAGACACGGCCCAGACUCCUACGGGAGGCAGCAGUGGGGAAUAUUGCGCAAUGGGGGCAACCCUGACGCAGCAACGCCGCGUGCAGGAAGAAGGUCUUCGGAUUGUAAACUGUUGUCGCAAGGGAAGAAGACAGUGACGGUACCUUGUGAGAAAGUCACGGCUAACUACGUGCCAGCAGCCGCGGUAAUACGUAGGUGACAAGCGUUGUCCGGAUUUACUGGGUGUAAAGGGCGCGUAGGCGGACUGUCAAGUCAGUCGUGAAAUACCGGGGCUUAACCCCGGGGCUGCGAUUGAAACUGACAGCCUUGAGUAUCGGAGAGGAAAGCGGAAUUCCUAGUGUAGCGGUGAAAUGCGUAGAUAUUAGGAGGAACACCAGUGGCGAAGGCGGCCUUCUGGACGACAACUGACGCUGAGGCGCGAAAGUGUGGGGAGCAAACAGGAUUAGAUACCCUGGUAGUCCACACCGUAAACGAUGGAUACUAGGUGUAGGAGGUAUCGACCCCUUCUGUGCCGCAG